GAUGAACGCUGGCGGCGUGCCUAAUACAUGCAAGUAGAACGCUGAAGCUUGGUGCUUGCACCGAGCGGAUGAGUUGCGAACGGGUGAGUAACGCGUAGGUAACCUGCCUCUUAGCGGGGGAUAACUAUUGGAAACGAUAGCUAAUACCGCAUAAAAGUCGAUAUCGCAUGAUAUUGAUUUGAAAGGUGCAAAUGCAUCACUAAGAGAUGGACCUGCGUUGUAUUAGCUAGUUGGUGAGGUAACGGCUCACCAAGGCGACGAUACAUAGCCGACCUGAGAGGGUGAUCGGCCACACUGGGACUGAGACACGGCCCAGACUCCUACGGGAGGCAGCAGUAGGGAAUCUUCGGCAAUGGGGGCAACCCUGACCGAGCAACGCCGCGUGAGUGAAGAAGGUUUUCGGAUCGUAAAGCUCUGUCGUAAGAGAAGAACGAGGGUGAGAGUGGAAAGUUCACACUGUGACGGUAACUUACCAGAAAGGGACGGCUAACUACGUG
rnacentral:rRNA from 1 species